UAUAACUUCUGCGAGGUGAUGGAAGAAUGUGGUGAGGAAGGAUUCAGCCUACCUUAGGUGUUGCAGAAGUUUCAGGAAGGGAGUGGAUUGUGAACCCAUGCAGUCUGAUCCCAAGCAAGUCCAUGCACCACACCGGGUUCAAUACUUCCAGUGGGGUACCCAAAGUGGCAUAUGACCUUGUUCUCCCCUCCACCAUUUUAUCCUGACAACAACAACCUUGUAAGAAGGAUCAUUCCUGGGGCUGCAGGAUCCAUGCAGAGAAACAGCUGUGCAGGUACAGACCUGCUCCCUUCCCUUCAGCCUGGACGGAUGGUGAUCAUCUCUUCCAUGCUCUGACAGGUGCUUGGAAAAAAGCCAUUUCUGAAUACUGAAGGCCUGUGAGGAAAAAUAUUUCAUUGCUAAGAGCCAAACGAGAUGUUACGGUGUCCAUGGGUCCAACCUGUGGUCACUGAUGCCAUUUUAGAAGAUAAUCGAGCCAUUAAAAAAA